rnacentral:rRNA from 1 species
CAACAGAGGGAAGCAAGACCGCGAGGUGGAGCAAAUCCCUAAAAAGCCAUCCCAGUUCGGAUUGCAGGCUGAAACCCGCCUGUAUGAAGUUGGAAUCGCUAGUAAUCGCGGAUCAGCAUGCCGCGGUGAAUACGUUCCCGGGCCUUGUACACACCGCCCGUCACACCAUGAGAGUCGGGAACACCCGAAGUCCGUAGCCUAACCGCGAAGGGGGCGCGGCCGAAGGUGGGUUCGAUAAUUGGGGUGAAGUCGUAACAAGGUACC